CGCAGCUUGGAUCUGGCGUGGCUGUGGCUGUGGCAUAGGUCAGCCGCCGCGACUCCGAUUCGAACCCCGGCCCGGCAACUCCCGCACGGCACAGGUGCAGCAGGGAAAAUAAAUAAAUGAACUAAAAAGAGAUGAAGACAGUGGGUUUCACGUCUUCCGGUUGCGGUAAGCUCUGCACAAUGGGGAGUUUCUCAUUUUACCUGUUUCGAGUGGCACUGAGUCAGCUCACAGUCUUGAGGGACCACAGAUGCCGUCCGCCUGGGAGAUUACUCCUCUCGCCACACCGCCCCUCUGCCCCCACUCAACACUCACUGCCCUCCCCGUCCCCCAGCCCCUGCCCCACCCUCUGCUUCCUGUCUCUGAACUUGCUGGCCACCGGCGACCGUCUGGUGGCCUCACUCUUCGGCCCCAUUUGUCGCACACCCCACCUGGCCUCUCCACGGCAUGGGCAGAGGGACUGUCUGGCCCUCCACUGUCCUAAGGCUGCCCGUGUCAGCCCUCCUCUCCACUUGUCAGCACCCUCUGAGCCCCAGUCACAUGCACGUCCCAGGCCACAGACCACCCCAGAGGGCCCACACGGCCACACGCUCUGCUACGGACCUUGGCCACCUCCGGGGGGGGGGGGGGUCUCUCUGUGACAGGGACAUCUGGAGGGCCCCACAGCGCAGCCAGGUCCUUGUGCCCACCACGGAGGAGCUCCACCACACCGCUGGCCUGUGUCAAGGCCUCAGGGGGACAGUGCUUCCAGACGGCCAGUGGUGGCUGGGUGUGCGGGGCCCCACCGGGGUCCCAGCCUGCAGCGAAGCCAUGCUCCCUGGGACAGGCAAGGCCUCCAGCGCCUUCCGCCCUCCCCAGGCUGGCCCGAAGCUGGGGAACCCCUCCCGCAGCCCCCAGAGUCUUCUGGGAAGGGGCAUGACACAGCCCUGGAUGCCCCCAACCAGGUCCUAUGACGCCAGGGACAGUCCCCAGUUCCCACCUCGGAGACAGGGCUCCGGGUCAGAGGGUGGCCCUUAGUGAUGGGUCACAAGGACAAAAACCUGACCUUCUGGUGCGGGCAGGGGCCCCCAGACCCCGCCAGCCACCCUGCGUCCCUCCGUGGGGGCUGGCCGGAAGCCACGGCGCACGCAGCGCCUCCCAGAGAAAACAGGAGAACACGAGCGGACAACGCAGCAUCAGGCCGAGCAUCUCAGAACCAGGUCAGAUCAACGUUUGCUCUGAACCCGAACCUGAGAACCCAGCUGGCUUUGUCCCCCGGCGCCACGCAUGGGGAGGGCGGGGGGUCUCCAGACUGUCCCCUUCCUUCCCCACCAUGCACACGGGCACGCGUGAAGACCCCAGCCUGGACCCUCUGCAUGCUUGUGGGGACAGAGUCCUGGGCCCAGAAACCCCUGGAUGUGAGACAGGAGCAGCCCGGACAUCUGGGGCCUGGGGCGGCCCCCAGACCCCAGCAGCUGAUGCAUAAGGAGGACGUGGUGGCUCUUUCCAGGAUGGUUCCAUCCCGUUUCAGGUGUCUCCUGCUGGGUUUGGGGAGUCUGGGCCAGGGGCGGGGGCUGUCCUGCUUUCUUCCUGCUCCAGCCCCACUGGCCCAGCCACGCAGGGUCUGACCUCAGAGAGCCUCACCAGACCCAAAGCAAAGGAUGCUCUGGAUUUUUCGAGGUGGGGGGGUCAGGGAGCCCUGGGGGAGCCUGCCUGACUUCAGCCCACUCAGCCAUCAAAGGCCCAAGCAGCUCCCUCAGGGCUCCCCCGGCACCCCACUCCAAGAGCCCCUGUUCCCUGUCACCACCGAGUCCCGCUGGGCUUCCAGACCACGCAGCGGAGGCCUGCGUCAGCUGAGAAGACAGCCUCAGGAGGCAAAGUCCAACAGCAGGAGCUGCUGAGCCCAGGCCAGUCCAUCACAUGUCCAGACCCGCCUCCGCCAGGACCACGAGGCAGUGGAGACGCAGGGACAGCGGUUGGCUGAGCCUAGGCUGCGUGGUGGACGGACUCGCCCUGCACUCAUUCGCUCACGCUCUCAUUCAGUCAUUUGCUCACUUGCUCACGUGAACGUGGCCUCGGCUGGUACCUCUUCGAGAUCCUGGUGUUCCAAGAGCAGACCCGUGGACCCGCCCACACUCACGGUGCCUGGACUGUGCCCAGCAUGGCUUUAGGGUGGGGCUCCUGGCAGCCCGGCCCCCAGCCACACCCGAGAAACAGAGGGAGGGGUCCUUACCAGCUCCAGGCUCUUGUCGGGACCUCCUCGACCUGCCCUAUGGCCCCCAGCCUCUGUCUCCCCAUCCCCCAUCUGACCCCCCCCCCCCCAGUGGCUCAGCCCCACCCAGCAGAGGAAGCACGGGGGGAUGGGGGCAGCGGGGCAGCAAAGCCAGGCCUGGGCCCCAGCCCCUUGGCUUGGCCCUGUCUGUAGGUAGGGGAGAGACGCGGUGACCUCCGGGGGCCCGGCCACCAACUCUGCCCCCACCCCCAGGGCAGACGUGCACAGGAGGGGAGGGGCUCCGAGGAAUGAGGCCAUCAAAGGGACAGAUGAGGCCACGAGCCGUGGGACCUGGAAGGGUUUAGGACCUGGGGGACGAGGCUGCGGCCUGUGGGCUCCGUGGUCAGGAGGCCCUCUGCCCACUGCGCAGCUCCCACCACUGGCACACGAGCCUCUCUGGGGUCCGGCGGGUCUCCGGCAGGGGUGGGCUCUGAACGUCCAGCUCCGCAGACAAAUCAGAUUCCCCCGAGCCCUGAGAAAGCCCCCUCCCCCAGCCCGUCUCCCCACCUGUCGGUGGACACAGUGACCCCUGCUGACCCCCUCCCCAGGCUCCCGCAGGAGCUGUGAGAGAGUAAGAGGCGGUACAGGACGCCCGGGGCGGCCCGGGCGAGGUGCGGGUGUGUGGGGGUGAGGCUGGGCACAGGCUGGCAUAGCCUCCCUGGCCCAGUCCCUUGGGCACCUCUGGGCACCUCGGUGUGCCUGCCUCCUGAAGGGAUCCAGCCUCCAGCCACCUCCUCUCGGGCCAGCCCCCACCCACACCCCCGAGCUAUAGACGCCUGCGCAUUCGCCCCAAGUGUCCUGGACCCUGGACCCAGGCAGCCCACCCGCUCAGCCCGGCCAGACCCAGCGUUGCCCUUCACGCCCUCCUCCCUCCCGCUGGGUCCUCGCGCUCGUCGCCUCAGGUUGGAAGCCCCUUCCCACCUGCCAUCUUGCCUGCGCCCAGGAUACACAGUUGAACUCAAGGCCUCACUCCUCGCUCUCUCCAAGGCUCUGUCCAGGCCCCUCUCUCUGAGCUGGGACCACCUGCCGCCUCCUGGCAGCCCCAGCAAACCCCCUGCCACAGUCCACGACAGUCCUCUUCUGGCUCUGCCCCCAGGAUGCUUCUAGAACUGGGGGGGGGGGGGGUCCUUCUAGCCCACGCAGCAUCCACUGGGCCCUGGGCUCCCUCCCCAGGUGCCCCUCAGAGCUUGCAGCUGGUGCAGACGGCUGUGCUCCGAACCCAUGCUCCCUGCGCCCUUGGACCUGGUGAGAUGUUGCAGGUCAUUCGGCUGCACCCGAAACAGCGGCCCCUCAGGGUCCCCCCGGCGCCCCUCCAUCUUUCAAACAGUGGGGGUGACACAGGGCUUCGUCCCAGGCCGUCUUCCCUCCUUGCAGACUCUUCCCUGAAACUCCACACCCAAGACCCCUGCAUCAAACAGUGGGGGCCCUGGUGGGGGUCGCAGGCCUACUCUGAGCCCAGGGCCUUCUGUUCCAGCACCAGCUGACGGCUUUUCUCAGGGGCUCAAGGCACCACCUAGGAGGUGAAUUCUGUCUGCAGCCCCGCCCGGCUCCCCAUCUCCACCAGUUCACACCAUCGGCUCUGGCACAGCCCGGAGCUGGGCGUCACCCUCCAGGCCAGGCGCACCCCGCUGGCUGCGCUCAGCCCGCGGCCAGCACCUCCUUCAGCCCCAACCUCUUCUUCUCCAGGGACGCCAGCCCCUCCAGCCGGGGUCCACUCAGCCGCCCCUGCUCCAGGCCUCCUCCACCUCGGUGGGGCCCCCACAUUCCUGCCCACACGGGGCCCUGCCAGCUCACCCAGGCUGAGGACACUCACAUCCAGGGCAACACAAAGCCACAGAGCAUUUCAGGCCGUGGUUGAAAUGCCAUCUCAUCCUCCCCGAGGCAGGGCCAGGGGGCGGGGGGCAGGCAGGCUGGUGGCCGGGUCUUCGCCAGUCCUUCUGUGUGGAGUUGAGCCAGAAGUUGCUGCCCCCUGUCCACCUGUGCCCACACCGUGCCCACACUGUGCCCCUGCCCAGCUGCCCCGUCCCCGUCCUCAUCUUUCUGGAACUCUCUUCCAAGCGCCCUGUCUCGGGUCUCCACGGACCUGGGGGCCAAGCUGGUGCCGGCGUCUUCCUGCUCCAUUUCUCACCGCCUCCCUCUCCCUGGCUCCCCAAGCCCCAAACACGUCCUGCCUUCCGCAUGUGGACGUCGGCUCUCCUGUCCUCGCUGCUGGACGUGGCCGCCCUCGAAGCCCUGGGUCUCCACCAGGCCGGUCCUCCCGUCCCGUCUCCAGUCCUGCCUGUGACCCGCUCACGGCCGAAGGAUGCCCCUCAGAGCAGCCCACCCUCAGAAGGCAACGCUGCCCCUUCCACAGGAGACGGACGGGGUGGGGUGACCUGCUGGCAGGAGGCUGGGUCCCUGUGUCACCGCGUGCAGGUGCAGCCAGCUGUGCAGGAGAGACGUGGGUCACGUGAUCGGUCAGGGGCUCUGCUGGCUCCCACCUCCCACCACGGCUCAGAGGCCGCCAGUACUGUCCCCAGCACGUAUCAUUCAUGUGCUUUCUUUCUAAGGCUACUUUUUCUUGUGUUUUAUUAAGAGACAGAGAUUUUUUUUUUCA